rnacentral:rRNA from 1 species
UACGUAGGGUGCGAGCGUUGUCCGGAAUUAUUGGGCGUAAAGAGCUCGUAGGCGGCUUGUCGCGUCGGAUGUGAAAGCCCGGGGCUUAACUCCGGGUCUGCAUUCGAUACGGGCAGGCUAGAGUUCGGUAGGGGAGAUCGGAAUUCCUGGUGUAGCGGUGAAAUGCGCAGAUAUCAGGAGGAACACCGGUGGCGAAGGCAGAUCUCUGGGCCGUAACUGACGCUGAGGAGCGAAAGCAUGGGUAGCGAACAGG